GCGACGCUGGCGGCAUGCCUAACACAUGCAAGUCGAACGAGAAAGUUCCUUCGGGAGCAAUUAAAGUGGCGCACGGGUGAGUAACGCGUAGACAAUCUGCCCUUCAGUCUGGGACAACUUUUCGAAAGGAGAGCUAAUACCGGAUAACAAUGCAUGACACAAGUUGUAUAUUUGAAAGCUUUAUGUGCUGAAGGAGGGGUCUGCGUCCCAUUAGCUAGUUGGUAAGGUAAAGGCUUACCAAGGCAACGAUGGGUAGCGGGUUUGAGAGGACGAUCCGCCACACUGGAACUGAGACACGGUCCAGACUCCUACGGGAGGCAGCAGUGGGGAAUAUUGCACAAUGGAGGAAACUCUGAUGCAGCAAUGUCGCGUGAGUGAAGAAGGCCCUUGGGUCGUAAAGCUCUUUUAUGGGGGAAGAUGAUGACGGUACCCCAAGAAUAAGCACCGGCUAACUAUGUGCCAGCAGCCGCGGUAAUACAUAGGGUGCGAGCGUUGUUCGGAAUUACUGGGCGUAAAGGGCGCGCAGGCGGAAUAGUAAGUCGGAGGUGAAAGCCCGGGGCUCAACCCCGGAGGGUCUUUCGAAACUACUAAUCUAGAGAGGGUCAGGGGCCGGCAGAAUUCCUGGUGUAGAGGUGAAAUUCGUAGAUAUCAGGAGGAAUACCGGUGGCGAAGGCGGCCGGCUGGGGCCACUCUGACGCUGAGGCGCGAAAGCGUGGGGAGCAAACAGGAUUAGAUACCCUGGUAGUCCACGCCGUAAACGAUGAGCACUGGACGUCCGGAGGGUUCGACCCUUCUGGGUGUCUCAGCUAACGCAUUAAGUGCUCCGCCUGGGGAGUACGGUCGCAAGACUAAACUAAUAAUUGAAUGACGG
rnacentral:rRNA from 1 species